rnacentral:ncRNA from 1 species
UUCUCAGCGCGUGUUUCAGCACCACGUUGCGGAAGCUUACCCCUUUGAGGCGCGCGGUGCGGAUGUAUUGCUGCUGCAUGACCUCGGCCAUGCUCGCGCGGGUCAUCCGCGCAAUGUAGCCCAUCCCGAAGAGGGCGAUGGUCACGACGGGCAGGAAGAAGUUCUCGAAGGUGGCGUUC